rnacentral:rRNA from 1 species
UGGGGAUAUUGCACAAUGGAGGAAACUCUGAUGCAGCGAUGCCGCGUGAGGGAAGAAGGUUUUCGGAUUGUAAACCUCUGUGGAGCGGGACGAUAAUGACGGUACCGCUCAAGGAAGCCACGGCUAACUACGUGCCAGCAGCCGCGGUAAUACGUAGGUGGCGAGCGUUGUCCGGAAUUACUGGGUGUAAAGGGAGUGUAGGCGGGAAUGCAAGUCAGAAGUGAAAACUAUGGGCUUAACCCAUAGCCUGCUUUUGAAACUGUAUUUCUUGAGUGAAGU